rnacentral:rRNA from 1 species
UACGGAGGGUGCGAGCGUUGUCCGGAAUCACUGGGCGUAAAGGGCGCGUAGGCGGCCUGAUAAGUAGGGGGUGAAAUCCUGCGGCUUAACCGCAGGGCUGCCUUCUAAACUGUCGGGCUAGAGCACGGUAGAGGCAGAUGGAAUUCCCGGUGUAGCGGUGGAAUGCGUAGAGAUCCGGAGGAACACCAGCGGCGAAGGCGGCAUCCUGGACUGGUCCUGACACUCAGGAGCGGAAAGCGUGGGAGCGAGUCCGG